rnacentral:rRNA from 1 species
CAAGCAUAUCAAUAAGCGGAGGAAAAGAAACCAACAGGGAUUGCCCUAGUAACGGCGAGUGAAGCGGCAACAGCUCAAAUUUGAAAUCUGGCUCUCGGGCCCGAGUUGUAAUUUGUAGAGGAUGCUUUUGGUGAGGUGCCUUCCGAGUUCCCUGGAACGGGACGCCAUAGAGGGUGAGAGCCCCGUCUGGUUGGACACCGAUCCUCUGUAAAGCUCCUUCGACGAGUCGAGUAGUUUGGGAAUGCUGCUCUAAAUGGGAGGUAUAUGUCUUCUAAAGCUAAAUAUUGGCCAGAGACCGAUAGCGCACAAGUAGAGUGAUCGAAAGAUGAAAAGCACUUUGAAAAGAGAGUUAAAAAGUACGUGAAAUUGUUGAAAGGGAAGCGCUUGUGACCAGACUUGGGCUUGGUUGAUCAUCCAGGGUUCUCCCUGGUGCACUCUUCCAGCCCAGGCCAGCAUCAGUUUGCUUCGGGGGAUAAAGGCGUCGGGAAUGUGGCACCCUCCGGGGUGUGUUAUAGCCCGUCGUGUAAUACCCUGGGGCAGACUGAGGUUCGCGCAUCUGCAAGGAUGCUGGCGUAAUGGUCAUCAGCGACCCGUCUUGAAACACGGACCAAGGAGUCGUCUUCGUAUGCGAGUGUUCGGGUGUCAAACCCCUACGCGUAAUGAAAGUGAACGCAGGUGAGAGCUUCGGCGCAUCAUCGACCGAUCCUGAUGUUCUCGGAUGGAUUUGAGUAAGAGCAUACGGGGCCGGACCCGAAAGAAGGUGAACUAUGCCUGUAUAGGGUGAAGCCAGAGGAAACUCUGGUGGAGGCUCGCAGCGGUUCUGACGUGCAAAUCGAUCGUCAAAUAUGGGCAUGGGGGCGAAAGACUAAUCGAACCUUCUAGUAGCUGGUUUCC